GACGAACGCUGGCGGCGUGCUUAACACAUGCAAGUCGAGCGAGAAAGGGGCUUCGGCCCUGAGUAAAGCGGCGGACGGGUGCGUAACACGUGGAUAAUCUGCCCUUUGGCGGGGAAUAACAGUCCGAAAGGAUUGCUAAUGCCGCAUGUCGCAAUUUGGUCUCCGGGCCGAAUUGCAAAAGGGGCCCGCAAGGGUCUCACCAGAGGAUGAGUUCGCGGCCCAUCAGCUUGUUGGCGGUGUAAAAGACCACCAAGGCUAAGACGGGUAGCUGGUCUGAGAGGAUGACCAGCCACACUGGGACUGAGACACGGCCCAGACUCCUACGGGAGGCAGCAGUGGGGAAUAUUGGGCAAUGGGCGCAAGCCUGACCCAGCCAUGCCGCGUGAGUGAUGAAGGUCUUCGGAUCGUAAAGCUCUGUGGGAAGGGACGAAAAAACGGGGGUUAAUACCCCCCGGCUUGACGGUACCUUCUUAGCAAGCACCGGCUAACUCCGUGCCAGCAGCCGCAGUAA
rnacentral:rRNA from 1 species